AUGCCUAAUACAUGCAAGUCGAACGAGACCUUCGGGUCUAGUGGCGCACGGGUGCGUAACGCGUGGGAAUCUGCCCUUGGGUUCGGAAUAACGUCGGGAAACUGACGCUAAUACCGGAUGAUGACGAAAGUCCAAAGAUUUAUCGCCCAGGGAUGAGCCCGCGUAGGAUUAGCUAGUUGGUGAGGUAAAGGCUCACCAAGGCUACGAUCCUUAGCUGGUCUGAGAGGAUGAUCAGCCACACUGGGACUGAGACACGGCCCAGACUCC
rnacentral:rRNA from 2 species